UUAUAGCAAUUUUUUACGUUUUUUAUGUGUACCCGACCGAUAUAGUUCCGCCUCUACCCUUGGUUGACUGUCCCUUAACUCCUCCCCUCAGCUGGCGUCUCCUAGCAACUGAUGUAAACACUUCUACUGUUUUGGAAGAAGUUAAUUGUUGGUGUUCGUAAGCGUGUUACUACGCUUUGAACCCAUUGCCAAUGAAGUUUUGUCAUGUUAUUCAUGCGAUUAAUUGAUCAUUGAAGACGAAAUUUACAAAUAUUUUGUAAAAUUUACUGAACGGACUUACGUCGGGUGGAUAACGCCAGCCAUCCUUCGCUUCAAAAGAACUCUCAGGUUAUCUAUCCCUAUGGUAUUCCACGACCAUCAUCCGUAUUUAUAUGUUUACCGGAUUAAAGACUUGGACUGCUAAAAUACUUUGGGAUUUAUUUUUUUGAUUUCACGCAAAUCCUCGUCACGUGUGGAUAAAAAUAUACUUAACUAAGCUUUAUUGUAUUCAUUUAUUGGUUAAUUUUCGCUAGAAAAAAAACAUGUGCAGCGAAUACUACGAGAGGCUUGAAAUAAACCGGAAUGCUACAGACGCAGACAUUAAAAAGGCGUAUCGACGCCUUGCACUCAAGUUUCAUCCGAGCAGCAACAAAGAACCAGAAAGUGCUGAGAUAUAUUACCUACUGGGGGAAGCCUACGACGUUUUGAGUGACCCUCGCAAAAGGGCAACCUAUGACAAGUUUGGAGUGGAAGGUCUCAAAGGUGGAAUCCCUUACGAGUUUGGGAGCGGCGGAGCUUGGUCGUCUAAAUAUGUCUACCACGGAAACCCUGACAAAACCUUCCGACAGUUUUUCGGCAGCGACAACCCAUUUGCAGACUUCUAUACAAAUGAUGCCCCACUGCUGCUGGGGGGCCUCCUGCCAGAAGAGGUAAAGACCCAAGACCCCCCAAUUGAGAGGGAUCUCCAUUUGUCCCUGGAUGACCUCUUUCAUGGUUGUACCAAAAAAAUCAAAAUAUCACGUAGGGUUAUGAAUGAUGAUGGCUACACUUCUGGUAUUAAGGAUAAGAUUUUAUCAAUAGAUGUCAAACCUGGAUGGAAAGAAGGCACAAGGAUUAUUUUUUCUAAAGAAGGGGAUCAGGGUCCAGGCAAGAUCCCUGCAGAUAUCGUGUUCAUUGUGCGCCAGAAGAGUCACCCUCUGUUUAUAAGACAAAACAAUGACCUGAUUUAUAAGGCCCAAAUCUCUCUCGCAAUGGCAUUGACAGGCUGUUCUGUCAAUGUGGAAACACUCGAUGGCCGACUACUCAACGUUCCCAUCAACGACAUCGUACACUUCACUUACCAAAAAGUGGUGACUGGAGAGGGGAUGCCACUUUCCCAGAAUCCUUCCCAGAGAGGAAACCUCAUCCUCACUUUUGGCAUACAGUUUCCUGAGCGUCUCUCUCCUGAGAGGAAGGAUCUCAUCAAACAAGCGCUACUCUUUAAAAUUUGAUGACGUCUGAAGUUUUUUAUCAACAUGACAGGUCUACGAAGAUGAACGUGGGCUUGACUGCAGCGCAUGGGACGCCAAAACCUCUAAGCUUCGAUGCACAUUCAGCUAUAUUUGAUGCAAAUUAAAGGAUGUUGCAGUGGACAAGAGUACAGGUCGUUUAAUAAUUGACACUGGCCAAGGAUGACCGGCUGCGAUGGAUGGAUGUCAAGUGAGUACAGUUAUUAAACUGCCUGCUGGACCCCCAUUAGAUACAAAAAGGACCUGAAGAUGCCUACGAGGGCGCCUGAUUAAAAAAAAAACACUUAAAUUUCCUUGGUCAAAAGUUUACAGUAAAUUACUGUAAAAAAAUGGCACCACUGUUAUUUUUACGGUAAAAUUCGAGCAAAUCAGCUUCCAAUUUUUUACCAUAAAGCUAAGGUUGCUGUUUUUACAUACUGCGAAGUAAUUCAAUGAAAAAUCGGUACGGGUUUUAUUUUUACAGGAAAAUUCUGGCAACUGAGCUGCAAGUAUUUUCUCUACUGACUUUUUUACAGAGCAGUCAAAUUUGAAAAAAUACUUUGGUACGAUUAUCAUAUUUGAGGCGGCGUGGCUCAGUUGGUAGUGCAGCCGUAUCAGCAACUUGAGGGUUUCAGGUACGUUCCCCGCUUCUGCCAUCCUAGUCGCUGCUUUUGUAUCCUUGGGCAAGACGCUUUACCCACCUGCUCCCAGUGCCACCCACACUGGUUUAAAUGUAACGUAAAGAUGUAGAUAAUGAGUUUCACUUUGUAAAGCGCUUUUAGUCUCUAGAGAAAAGCACUAUAUAAUUGAAUUCACUUCAGAUUUUAUGAGCGUGUUUCAUCUGCCGUACAGAUUUACUUUAGAAAAGAGAAGUGUGGGAUACUUCUCUCGUUGUCUUAUUUGUAUUUGACUUUAUUAAAUGUUUGGGUAGAAUUUUAUUAAACAAAACCAGUUUUCUCUUAAAGUGGAACUGCACUAUUUUUGGAAUUUUGCCUAUCGUUCACAAUCAUUAUGAGAGACAUAACGCACGUCUUUUUUUUUUUUUUUUUUUUACGAUUUUAAAGAUGAGGUCAUUAGAGACAAUAAUCUUUACCUGAGACUUGGCUAAAACCAGUUGAUUUUUUUCCACUUAACGAGGCAUCUCCUCCUAACUAUACGAGUGCACAUAUUGCUCAUCCCCUUUACAGGGGUGGAGAGGUCGCACUAAUAUCCAAUGAAAAUCUUAACCUCAGCCCUAACCUAAGUAAUAAAUAUAAAUCAUUUGAGGUGCCCACUAUGAGGUCUGUCACACCGCUACCUCUCCAUCUGGCUGUUAUCUACCGCCCCGCUGGGCCCUAUUCGGACUUUAUCAGUGAAUUUUCAGAGUUUGUUGCUGAUCUAGUGACGCACGCAGAUAAUAUGAUUAUAAUGGGGGAUUUUAAUAUCCAAAAUAAUACCCCGUCAGACCCUCCAUGCGUGGCGCUCCAGACUAUAAUUGAUAGCUGUGGUCUUACACAAAUAUUAAAUUAACACACGCAUCGCAACGGUAAUACGAUAGAUGUAGUCCUUGUCAACCACCUCCAAAGUUAUGGUACUCCCGUACACUAAAAUAAUAUCCGAUCACUACCCUAUAAAAUUUGGAGUUCUGACUCAUUGUCAACAAGCUACUACCCUUGGUUUAGCAGUCGCAACAUUAAUACUGGCACAACUACGACUAUUGCUGGCCUACUGCCCUCGGUAUUGGCACCAUUCUCAAAUUAUGUAGGCUCUAUCGAUAACCUCACUAACGACUUUAACGAUGCCCUGCGCAACGCCGUUGAUAGCAUAGCACCGCUAAAGCUAAAAAAAGGCCCCUAAAAGGCGUAUCCCCUGGUUUACAGAAGAAACCAGAGCUCUAAACUGUCAUGUAGAAAGCUGGAACGCAAAUGAUGUGCGACUAAACUUGAGGUUUUCCAUCAAGCAUGGAGUGAUGGCUUAAUAACUUAGAAACAUGCACUUAACUUAGCUAAAACUAAUUACUACUCAAAUCUCAUCCGCCUCAAUAAAAACGUUCCUAAAUAUUUGUUCAAUACAGUUGCAUCGCUAACCCAACAAGGGACUCCUCCCAGUAGCUCCACCUACUCAGCUGAGGACUUUAUGUGGAUACUGAUGCGUCAUCAGUGUUGUUGCUAUUUGAUCUCAGCGCUGCUUUCGAUACCGUCGAUCAUAACAUUCUAUUAGCAUGUAUCAAAACACGUACUGGUAUGUCAGACUUAGCCUUUUCCUGGUUUAACUCCUAGCUUACUGACAGAAUGCAGUGGGUCUCCCAUAACAAUGUGUCUCUACAGCUUGGUUAUGAUACAGGUUACGUAGGUAAUUGAAGUAUUGUUGACAGAUUGUUUUAAUGCAUUUUGAAAGUGAUUUAGAGGUAGAAUUGAUUGCUCCCAUUAGCUGCAUUGCUAGCCACCUAGAACAAGACCAUUUUUAUAUGUUAGAAAGCAAAAAAAAAUAAUGUUUUGAAUACUUUCUACCUCCUUUUCUUUUGGUUUGUUGAGUUAGCACAGGAUUAAUAUGUGGAAAUGACAAAUAAGGUAUUUUGAUACCUAAAAUAGUUUUUAUUUCAUUAUAAUUUAUUUAGUUCAAUCCCAGAUAGUCUGUGACCUAAAGUUUGAUAGCUUUGUAGAUACAUUGAGACAAAGUCGAAGUUCAUUGUGUUCAUCAUUGUGUUUUUGAAACUGCACCAAUUUUUUCCUCAGAAUUUUCAACUAACUUGAAGUGUUUUGUCAAAAUUUUUGUGAUUUGUACAUUUUCAUGUGUUUGUUCUGU